rnacentral:rRNA from 1 species
CCUACGGGUGGCAGCAGUGGGGAAUAUUGGACAAUGGGCGAAAGCCUGAUCCAGCCAUGCCGCGUGUGUGAAGAAGGCCUUCGGGUUGUAAAGCACUUUCAGUGGGGAAGAAAGCCUUGGGGCUAAUACCCUCGAGGAAGGACAUCACCCACAGAAGAAGCACCGGCUAACUCCGUGCCAGCAGCCGCGGUAAUACGGAGGGUGCGAGCGUUAAUCGGAAUUACUGGGCGUAAAGCGCGCGUAGGCGGUCUGAUAAGCCGGUUGUGAAAGCCCCGGGCUCAACCUGGGAACGGCAUCCGGAACUGUCAGGCUAGAGUGCAGGAGAGGAAGGUAGAAUUCCCGGUGUAGCGGUGAAGUGCGUAGAGAUCGGGAGGAAUACCAGUGGCGAAGGCGGCCUUCUGGACUGACACUGACGCUGAGGUGCGAAAGCGUGGGUAGCAAACAGGAUUAGAUACCCCGGUAGUC